CAGGCUGACCAGAGGAUCGCGAGGCGUCAAUGCCUCGAGGAAAGUCCGCGCUCCGCAGAGCAAGCUGCCGGGCAACACCCGGAGUGAGGAUUCUACGGAAGAACUUACUGGAUCGGGCCACAGAGACAUACCGCCCCCAUGGGUAAGGGUGAAAAGGUGGUGUAAGAGACCACCGGCGCUGCCGUAAUGCAGCGGCCAGGCAACCCCCAGCUGGAGCAAGGUCAAGCAGGGAUAAAGUCUGCGGGUUCCCGCAGCGGGAAGCGGCUCGUUUUCUUUUGAAUCCCGGGUAGACCGCUUGAGUG
rnacentral:RNase_P_RNA from 1 species